AAAUGAUUUAUUUGAUCAAAUUAUUUUUAAAAGCUGCUAAUUGAAAAUAGAUGUAAAAAUUUUAAUGAUAAUUUUUAUUUAAAUAGUGGGAGUUUAAAUUUUCAGUGUUUAAAAUUAAAUUAAUUAUUAUAGGUAAUUUUAGUUAAUUUACGAUAAAUUAGGGAGAAUAAAAAUGUGCCAGCAUUCGCGGUUAUACAUUGUCCUUGAGUUUUUCUAUUUAAAGGAAAGAGUUUAUUUAAUUUAAUUUAUUCUACUUUAAUGGAGGUGAAAUGAAUUAAAGUUUUAAUUUUAAAAAAUUUCUUUAAAAUUUUGAGUUUAAACUAGGAUUAGAUACCCUAUUAUUCAAAAUUAAUUUUUUCUUUUUAGUAUUUUAAUUACAUAAUAAAUUAAAUUGAUUUGGCGGUUUAUUAAACUUUUUAGAGGAAUCUGUAAAUUAAAUUGAUAAACCACGAUUUUUAAUACCUUUAAUUUUUUGUAUAUCUCUAUAAUGAAUAUUUUUUGAGAAUAAUUUUCUUUUUUUUUUAAGAAUCUAAUUUAGGUCAAGGUGCAGUUAUUUGAAGGUUUUAAUGGAUUACAAUUAUGCAAGUUAGUGAAUGAAUUUUUAAUUAAUUAUUUUGAAAUUGGAUUUAAUAGUAAUUUAUUUUAUUUAAAUAUUUGAAUUAUGCUCUAAUUAAUGUACAUAUCGCCCGUCAUUCUCAUUACGUGAGACAAGUCGUAACAAAGUAGAUGUAUUGGAAAAUGUAUCUAGAAAGAUUUA
rnacentral:ncRNA from 1 species